CUCCCCCGCCUCAAAACAGGGCGUAUUGAUUGGAAGCAAGGUGUGCAUGUUAAUUGUAAGGUCAACCUGUAACGGUCCACCUGCCUUUCCACUGCUCCGCGGGCCACUCCGUGGCGGGGAAAGUGAUUGGGCGAGGCGCGUGUCAGUCACGGGGACCAGAGGUCUGGUUCUCAGCCAACCUCCAUCCCGCAGAAAAGCUUCCGAGUUGCCAUUUUGUAUGAGUUCCCCCCUCACGCGCUGCUCGGGUCCGCAGGCGAUCCAGAAGCAGAACAGGGCGGCCUCUGGCCCUCGGCUUGCCUUGCGAAGGCGGCGGGCCCCAAAAGGCUCGACCUCGGUGCGGGGAAGCGAGGAGCUUCCGCCGAAGAGAAACAAAGGUCGCCGGGCGCCCCAAGCACCCGCGCUGUCGCUCCCGCGGCCGCAUCCUGCGCCCACCUCCGCGCCACACGCCCCUGGACUCCCCAGGGACGAGGAUCCCGUAGUCCUUCUGGCGCCCCUGACUCUCCCCGGCCCAGCCAACCAUGCCCAGUGGGCAGGGACAGGUGGGAGGUGGUGGGAGCAGGGCCGGCCCACCCAGGAGGCAAGGUGAGGCGACUGCCUCUGGCGGCAGAAUCCAUGGGGCGGCAGGUCCCAAUGUGGACCUCUAUCCCCACCCCGCACCUGUGUUCCUGAUCUAGAUCUUUGCUCACCCCUUCUUCCCUGGCAGGGAGGGGAGGAGCGCCAUUUUGUGGUUCACCUCAGGUGCUGAAGUGUCUUGGGCCGGUCCUAGUUCGGAGUCAAAAAACCACUCUUUUGACCAGCAGCAGAUUAUGGACAUAGCUGUCAACUUUUUCCUUUUCUUGCAAGGAAUCCUAUUCGGAAUAAGGGAAUUUCCCUUAAAAAAAGGGAAACGUUGACAGCUAUGAUUAUGGAGCCCCCUGCGCACAAAGUGUGUCCUCUGUAACCACUGAGUUACAGCCUCCGCCAAUAAGAAGGUGCCUUGUACCAAGCCCCAACCGCUGACAGAUCUUUCCAGGGUCCUUGGGAAGGCCUCUCCCAACCAUGCUCCCUGAGGCUCUGCUCUUAACCAAAGAUGUCAGGAAAUGAGCCUGGGGGUUUUAUGCCUGUGCUUCGCCACUUGAGCUAAAGCCCUCUUCUCCACUGCUCACACACAGUUAAACUACCCCAGGGCCAAUAAAAAUUUCUAAACUCCAGGACCCACUUGGAGCAGCAGAAAAUCACUGAGUCAUGAGAUGGAGACAAAGUUUGGCAUAAUCUGUUGGCAAUCAAUGUCUCUUUCUACUGAGAUCUAAUCCAAUUUUUGAAAUCGCUAGCUCUUUUGCUACCAUGUUUUCCUUGUGGCGGGGAGUUACAUAGCUUGGCUUUCUUCCCAUUUUAGGCUGAAUCAUCUGAUCUAGAGGCUCUACUGAAGAAGGCUUUUCUUUUAUAUCACCCUCCCUUUUUACUAGGGCUGUGCAUCAAAUUCAGCCAAAGUCUGAAUCUUGAGCCAAUUCGGCAGAGUUGGAUGGAGACAGCUGCAGAUCACUCAUGAUUGGGCCUCCCAGAGUGAUCCAGGGCUGUUGGGAUGUGGGUGUGCUGGGGGUUUAGUGGAAAGAAGGAGCUUUGACUUUGUGCAUCUGAUCCCAGCAGGAGAACACACACAGUCAGACUGACCAGGAUUGAACCCUCUGCUCAUCAGCUAGUGAGAAGGUUACCAGUCCUGCUGGCUUCAGGGAUCUGUUUAGCCAACGUGUUCCCUACAGGGGGAAAGUGUGGUUCAGGGCGGGUGGGAGGAGCAACACAGUAUCUCCUUCCUCCACCCCCGCCCAACCAUAUUUAUUUAUUUCAUAAAAUUUAAACACCGCUUGAUUGUUAAAAACCACAAAGCAGUUUACAAAAAGAUGAAAUGAUAAAAUCAAAAGAAACAUGUCAAUUCAUUAUACUGUAAUUGAUAGCAAUUGUUUAUUUUUAUUAUUUUAUUUAUUUGUAUACUGCCUUAUGGUAUACUUUUCCCUCAGGGAAACUUUCCUUCCUUCCUUCCUUCCUUCCUCCCUCCUGUGUGCAAGGAGUUAUUGUUGGUUCUAGCAAUAGCCCGCUUGGAAGAAUCUGGCACAACUUGUAGGCAGGGCAGGCAAGUGAGGAGACACCAGGCAGGCUGAGGCCGUGUUUUAAAAAUACUAACAUACGCUAUGAUAGCCAGUCCUGUACUGACUUCAGCAGUAGAGUAUAAACAUUUUUCUUUAUACAGCCUUAGAAUGUAUAGUAAUUUUACACACUACCCCCAAACUCUGCUGAGCGGCAGCAAUAUUCCAGGGGGUUCCAGGCACUCACCCAGGGUUGUGUUUUCAUUAGAAAAUCAAGGCACAGCAGAGACUGAAAACUGCAGUCUUUUAUUCACAUAAAGGUAAAGGGGCCCCUGACCAUUAGGUCCAGUUGCGGAUGACUCUGGGGUUGCAGCACUCAUCUCGUUUUACUGGCCAAGGGAGCCGGCGUUCAGCUUCCGGGUCAUGUGGCCAGCAUGACUAAGCCGCUUGUGGCUAACCAGAGCAGCACACAGAAAUGCCAUUUACCUUCCCGCUGGAGAAACUUAUUUAUCUACUUGCACUUUGAUGUGCUUUCGAACUGCUAGGUUGGCAGGAGCAGGGACCGAGCAACGGGAGCUUACCCCGUUGUGGGGAUUCGAACCGCCGACUUUCUGAUCGGAAGCCCUAGCUCUGUGGUUUAGACCACAGUGCCACCCCUGAAGCCUUCAUCUCAAGAGGGGCUUGUCCUUCCCAGCACCAUAGCAUUUGAUUCAGAGGCAUCCUAAGCACCAUCCCCCUAUCUCUCUGUAACAGUCUGCUCCAGCCAGCCAGCAUUAUUAUCGGUCCUUUUUUUCUUAAAAAAUGUUUAGGGGUACUCUCAUUUUGACUCAAUAAAAUCACCAUUUUAUAGUUCAAAUUGGGAAAAAUACAGUAAAUGGACAAAAGUACAAAGAUUCACAAAAUGUUUAGGGGUAUGCAUACCCCUGCAUUCCCCCAGAAAAAAGCACUGAUUAUCAUUAUUAACUUUGUAUUAUUAUUUAUUAAAUUUGUAUACUGUACCGCCCUUCACAACAUAAAAACAAAAAGUUAGAACACAAAAUAUAUAAUAAAAGCAAGAGCUGCUGCCUUUGAAUCCC